rnacentral:tRNA from 1 species
GCGAGAGUAGCUUAAUGGUAGAGCAACACCUGUUGGUGUAAAUGCCGGUUCAACUCCGGCCUCGGCA